AUGGAGGGCCGGUGGCCGGUGGAACGGCUGGUCUGCUUCAUCGGUUUCACCACCGCGUGCAUGGCAACCUCCGUGGCCGUCUACACGCUGCCCACCGGCAUCUUCGACGACCACAAGCUCGCCUACUACGUCUCCGUCGCCUCCGCCGGCUUUGUUGGCUUGGCGGAGGUGUUUGCGGCGGUAACAUGGAUGUCGGGCUCGGCCGGCGUCGCCGACAACCACCCACACGGCCAAGCACGCCGAUGCGUUUUGUGUGCCUCACUUCUGCCACUGGCGUUCCUGGCAGGGCUCGGUGGAGUGCGCAUGCUUGUCAAGUAA
rnacentral:rRNA from 1 species